UACGUAGGGUGCGAGCGUUGUCCGGAAUUAUUGGGCGUAAAGGGCUCGUAGGCGGUUUGUCGCGUCGGGAGUGAAAUCCACUGGCUUAACUGGUGGCUUGCUUUCGAUACGGGCAGACUGGAGGUAUGCAGGGGAGAACGGAAUUCCUGGUGUAGCGGUGAAAUGCGCAGAUAUCGGGAGGAACACCGGUGGCGAAGGCGGUUCUCUGGGCCUUACCUGACGCUGAGGAGCGAAAGCGUGGGGAGCGAACAGG
rnacentral:rRNA from 1 species